AAAAUGUAUCCAGAUUUUAUGGGGAAGGAAGAUUAUCAGUCCUAUAAGUCAACCAAAAUUUUGGGAAGACUUUAUCGCCAGAUUAAAGAUGCUUAUGAUGAUCAUGUUGAGGCUGCAUCUUCAGAGCUCAUUGGUGUUCCUGNNNNCCUGGAGAUAUACCUUAUGAUAGGGAUCUCGAGGUUUUUGGAUCAUCUGAUUACAUUCUGGAUGCCUG
rnacentral:misc_RNA from 1 species